rnacentral:rRNA from 1 species
AACGAACGCUGGCGGCAUGCCUAACACAUGCAAGUCGAACGAGACCUUCGGGCCUAGUGGCGCACGGGUGCGUAACGCGUGGGAACCUGCCCUUAGGUUCGGAAUAACUCCCCGAAAGGGGUGCUAAUACCGGAUAAUGUCUUCGGACCAAAGAUGUAUCGCCUUUGGAUGGGCCCGCGUUGGAUUAGCUAGUUGGUAGGGUAAAAGCCUACCAAGGCGACGAUCCAUAGCUGGUCUGAGAGGAGGAUCAGCCACACUGGGACUGAGACACGGCCCAGACUGCUACGGGAGGCAGCGGUGGAGAAUAUUGGACAAUGGGCGAAAGCCUGAUACAGCAGUGCCGCGUGAGUGAUGAAGGCCUUAGGGUUGUAAAGCUCUUUUACCCGGGAUGAUAAUGACAGUACCGGGAGAAUAAGCUCCGGCUAACUCCGUG